UGUAGCAAAAUAGUGCAAUAAACUUAAGAUUUAUUUAAAAAGAUAAACUUUCUUUAGA
rnacentral:tRNA from 1 species